AGUUAUGCUGAGAGGUAGAAUAACCACAAUGGGAGUGAGACACGGCCCAUACUCCUACGGGAGGCAGCAGUAGGGAAUUUUUCACAAUGGACGAAAGUCUGAUGGAGCAAUGCCGCGUGAACGAUGAAGGUCUUUUUAGAUUGUAAAGUUCUUUUAUUUGGGAAGAACAGUUAAUAGAGUGGAAAGCUAUUAAUUUGACUGUACCAUUUGAAUAAGUAACGACUAACUAUGUGCCAGCAGUCGCGGUAAUACAUAGGUUGCAAGCGUUAUCCGGAUUUAUUGGGCGUAAAACAAGCGCAGGCGGAUUAGAAAGUCUGGUGUUAAAAGCAAUUGCUUAACGAUUGUAUGCAUUGGAAACUUCUAGUCUAGAGUUUGGUAGAGAGUCCUGGAACUCCAUGUGGAGCGGUGAAAUGCGUAGAUAUAUGGAAGAACACCAGAGGCGAAGGCGAGGACUUGGGCCAAUACUGACGCUUAGGCUUGAAAGUGUGGGGAGCAAAUAGGAUUAGAUACCCUAGUAGUCCACACUGUAAACGAUGGAUGUUAAGUGUCGGAGCGAAUACUUCUGUGCUGCAGAGAAAGCGAAUACUUCGGUGCUGCAG
rnacentral:rRNA from 1 species